rnacentral:lncRNA from 1 species
UCACCUUCCAAGUUAGGGCGUGGACAUUGGUAGAGUAGAGAACGCUUCAGUCUUUUUGUAGUGUUCCCUAAUUUUGGGCUAAACGGUGACGGCAGACCCGAGUUUCGGUAUGAUUUUUUUUUGUUAAGACGAAAAAUCGCGAAAACUAGGCGAAAUCAGGCCGCAAACUUACUUUUGAAGGCCGGGCUUCCGGCGUCGCCUAGCAACGAACUUCAUAUGAAAGGCCGUGUAUAUGAGCAAUCUCUAUUCCGUUUACGUAACGUAGUUGUGUUUUGUGUUUGUGUUUCGUUAAUCCUGUUGCUUCGCCGCGUGUGGAACUUAUUCAUCGCUUUGGUAGGUGCAGUAUCUAUCGGCAGCCCUGCAGUGUGCAAAAAAAGGCAGUGGAAAAAAUCUGCUUGUGGUGCUGAUCUGCACAGUGGCGGCUUGAUGUAACCAUUCUUGAAAGGACCUAUCAACACUUAACUGUUAUUGAACAUAGGACUGCAUAGUAUUAAAAAACUUUUCCCCUAAGGAAAUUUGUGUCUGUGGACUUUCUUUAGAUGACACAUGUAUCAUAAAUAUUUUCCUGCUUCUUGGGACAAGGAACAUAGGAUGUCUUGAUGCCAACCAAGUGUCAUUAGAAAGAUGUAUUCUUAAAUUUGCAGGAAAAACCUAAAAUUGGAGGACAAUUCAUUUGUUUCUCAUUGCCAGUUUUGUAAAACAAAUGGUAAAUUGGUAAAAUGAAACAACAUGUAAUCUAUUAAUUUAGAUCAAUUGUUUUCACAAGUGGAGAUUGAUUCCACAAUCUUCGGCUUCCCAGGCAGACACACAUCCACAAAGCCAUGGAGUCAGAGACCAAUUUGUGUAAUCUGAUAUUCUAGCCCUCAAAAUCCCAGCUGCCCUUCUGCUUCAACAAGGUUAUAAAGCAAUUCUAAUUUCAGGAGGUCCCAACUCAGUUUACGCAGCGAAUGCCCCACUACACGACCCAGCAAUCUUUACUUGCGAUCUUCCAGUGCCGAGAAUUUGUUAUGCAUGCAAUUACUCAAUUAGGAAUUAGGUGGAACAGUGGAGAGAAAAUAUGUUUGUGAAGAUGGGCAAUUCGAGAUCCAAGUAGAAACGUAGUGCUCAUUGUUUAAAGGCUUAUGAGACUCGGAAAAUGGUAUUACUGAUCCAUGAUGACAGCGUAGACAAGGUUGCAAAAGGGUUGCAUUGCAUCGCAAAAUGUUUGCGUCAUAUUAUUUUCGCUAUUGCUGAUACUCAACGCCGUCUUUACGGAGUCCAGUUCCAUGAUUUAACUGAUAAAGACGAAAAAUGUUGCAUAACUUCGUGUUCGACAUUUGUGGAUUGCAAAGAGCUUUCACAUUGGUGAAACGCGAGCAGCAGUGUAUCGAUUACAUCCGGCGUACGGGAUUAGGCCACUACAAGAGAUCCUGACACUUUAAGAAGGCCAAUAUUGCUUACAUGAAGAUCACCAUCCAGUUCAAGGACUGUUAAUGGACCUCAAGCCUUUUGUUUAAGCUUAGUGAUGUGUUCUCUUGUCAGUCAAUGACAGAGUCUUCAUCUACUUUGUGUUGCUAAUCAUCAGCCCUCAGCAUCCCAGAUAUCCAGCUUUCCAAGUUUCUCAGAUUAGCCAACCAUCAUCCAUACCCUUCAUCUCUUCAUUGUGGCUUCUCUUCCUCUCUUCUUAGUCUUGCUGAAUGCCAGCAGUGAAUGAGGUUCAUCGUCAUUGCCUUUCCAUAGUAUUGUCACGUGGAGAUCACGUGACAUACGCGUGAGACACACCCCACACUCACCUCCUUCUUGGAAACAAGCAAGGGCGAAUGUACGAGUACAUUCGACCUUGUUUUGUCUG